rnacentral:rRNA from 1 species
AACGAACGCUGGCGGCAUGCCUAACACAUGCAAGUCGAACGAGACCUUCGGGUCUAGUGGCGCACGGGUGCGUAACGCGUGGGAACCUGCCCUUAGGUUCGGAAUAACUCCCCGAAAGGGGUGCUAAUACCGGAUAAUGUCUUCGGACCAAAGAUUUAUCGCCUUGGGAUGGGGGCGCGUUGGAUUAGCUAGUUGGUAGGGUAAAAGCCUACCAAGGGGACGAUCCAUAGCUGGUGUGAGAGGAUGAUCAGCCACACUGGGACUGAGACACGGCCCAGACUCCUACGGGAGGCAGCAGUGGGGAAUAUUGGACAAUGGGCGAAAGCCUGAUACAGCAAUGCCGCGUGAGUGAUGAAGGCCUUAGGGUUGUAAAGCUCUUUUACCCGGGAUGAUAAUGACAGUACCGGGAGAAUAAGCUCCGGCUAACUCCGUG